rnacentral:tRNA from 1 species
GAGGGUAUAGCUCAGUGGUAGAGCACUGCUUAGCAUGCACAAGGUCCUGGGUUCAAUCCCCAGUAACUCCU